UGCUACUGAUCUUAGCGGCGGACGGGUGAGUAAUGCUUAGGAAUCUGCCUAUUAGUGGGGGACAACAUUUCGAAAGGAAUGCUAAUACCGCAUACGUCCUACGGGAGAAAGCAGGGGAUCUUCGGACCUUGCGCUAAUAGAUGAGCCUAAGUCGGAUUAGCUAGUUGGUGGGGUAAAGGCCUACCAAGGCGACGAUCUGUAGCGGGUCUGAGAGGAUGAUCCGCCACACUGGGACUGAGACACGGCCCAGACUCCUACGGGAGGCAGCAGUGGGGAAUAUUGGACAAUGGGCGCAAGCCUGAUCCAGCCAUGCCGCGUGUGUGAAGAAGGCCUUAUGGUUGUAAAGCACUUUAAGCGAGGAGGAGGCUACUUUAGUUAAUACCUAGAGAUAGUGGACGUUACUCGCAGAAUAAGCACCGGCUAACUCUGUGCCAGCAGCCGCGGUAAUACAGAGGGUGCAAGCGUUAAUCGGAUUUACUGGGCGUAAAGCGCGCGUAGGCGGCUAAUUAAGUCAAAUGUGAAAUCCCCGAGCUUAACUUGGGAAUUGCAUUCGAUACUGGUUAGCUAGAGUGUGGGAGAGGAUGGUAGAAUUCCAGGUGUAGCGGUGAAAUGCGUAGAGAUCUGGAGGAAUACCGAUGGCGAAGGCAGCCAUCUGGCCUAACACUGACGCUGAGGUGCGAAAGCAUGGGGAGCAAACAGGAUUAGAUACCCUGGUAGUCCAUGCCGUAAACGAUGUCUACUAGCCGU
rnacentral:rRNA from 1 species